rnacentral:rRNA from 1 species
UACGUAGGGUGCGAGCGUUAAUCGGAAUUACUGGGCGUAAAGCGUGCGCAGGCGGUUUUGUAAGUCGGAUGUGAAAGCCCCGGGCUUAACCUGGGAAUGGCAUUUGAGACUGGAGGGCUGGAGUGCGGCAGAGGAGACUGGAAUUCCUGGUGUAGCAGUGAAAUGCGUAGAUAUCAGGAGGAACACCGAUGGCGAAGGCAGGUCUCUGGGCUGACACUGACGCUCAGGCACGAAAGCGUGGGGAGCAAACAGG